CCCACAAAUCUAAGAGCUGCAAUAUCUCUGUUCAGACUUAGGACGUGCACUAAAUUAGCUACCAUUUGCAUUAUACAAAAUCUGAUGUUCUGGAUGAAAGGCAACGUCUCUGGGAAAAACAAAGAAACCUGCUCAGGACUGUAGCAAGGCAACAGAACAUUUACUGAUACCUGGAGCUGUUGGGGAGUCCACCAAAUCAAGAACCUUGCCCUAAAUGAUGUUCCAAACCCAAGAAAAUGAGGACUGCAGCAUCAUUCUACACUCCACUGCGGGAUAGAGCAUGCAAAAAUGAGUUAGAGGAUGUUGCCUGGAUUCAGAGAACUCUCUCUCGAGCCAAGAUUGACGAGUCAGAGCAGAAGGAUACAGCUGCGCUAUCAUCCCCCAGUGGCUGAGUUUUACCCAGUGUCCCAGCUGACAUUCUAGCUGUGCAGCAAGUUGUCCACCUGGCUUCAAGCAACUUGGAUCCAUGUCUGUCUUUGCUGGUAACGUAUGGGCCCUUUUUUAUUAAUCAGAGAACAAACUGCCAAAAGCCCUUAAACAAGUUAUAGUCAGGCCUCUGCAGAGGAAACCAAUACUGAUCACUAAUAUCCUGGCCAAGUACUACCUACCCCCUAACUUUCCCUUUCCUCAAAUGAUAAUGCAGCAGGUAGUGACAGGCCAACUCCAACAAGAUCUGAUAAGCUCAGGCGUCUUGGAACCCAUGCAGCUGGGCUUCAGGCUGGACCAUAGCACAGAAAAGACACUGAUCAUAGGGACUGACACUCCGCUCUGAGCAAUGGGCAGAGGCCAGAUGUCCUUGCUGACAACUGCUUGAUCUUUCAGUGACCUUCAAUCCUAUUCAUCAUGAAAUGUUGACAAGACUGUAAGACCAGCUAGGGAUUCUCAUCACUUUUUUUCAAAAUUAUCACAAGCAAAUACUGCUGCACGAGGGGAUCUCCCUCUGAGGGGGUCUCAGCUGUGGGCUCCUUCAGGCCUCAACCCUGUUCAGUAUCGAAGUGAAGUUGCUGGGAGACAGUGAGACCAUAUAAGCUGCAGUACGAGCUGUAAGCCAAAAAUAAUCUGUUCUAUGGCUCUUUUACAUUGAAUCCAGACAUAGCUCUUGGCAAGGCUCAUCUAAUGGUUGGCAGAGACUAAGAUCUGGAUGAAAGCCAGGUGGCUGUAGCUCGAACUAGACAAGAUCGAGGCAACACUGUCUGAAACAGGAUGUGGUCUGACGAAAUCUAUAAGCCAUCAACUGGGGAUAUCUGCCCAACCAUUGUCAAAGUGGUCUUCAGUCCUGGGAUCCUACUAGAGCCAUCACUACUUCCAGAUUCCCAAAAAUACCUUUUCUAUCUACAGCUGCCACACAACUAUAAAAACCAUGUCUGAAAACUGAGAAAUAAGUCCACUCAGAACUUCAUAGAACAGUGCACUAUUUUCACAACGUAUCUAAUUAAACGAAUGUGGGAACCUAAGAUCAAAGGCUCAACCUUAAGUGAAGUGGGUCUGAUCUCUGGGAUGAGGACAAAUGGUUAUGGAGCUGAUUCAGCACCCUUCUGCAGGAGAUAGCUCUGCCUCUCUCUAGAUGAGGGGAACUUCAC